AUGGCGAGUGUUCCUGACACUUUACUUCCAUGGCUUCUAUACGCUCCUUCCCUGCAGGACGUUCCUCUCGUUUCCAGUCUGCUGGCUGCACUCCAGUGUCUCCACUGCUCAGCCAUGCUCCUCCUGCCCAUCUCAGGGCUUGAUGUGAUUUUUGCCCCAAGAGGAAUGGGAGCCCAGUCAGUGACUCAGCCUGAUGCCCAGGUGUUGGUCUCUGAAGGAGCCCGUCUGGAGCUGAAGUGCAACUAUUCCUCUAGUGCAACGACUUAUGUCUUCUGGUACAUGCAGUACCCCAACCAAGGACUCCAGCUUCUCCUCAAGUACAUAUCAGGGGACACCCUGGUUAAAGGCAUCAAUGGUUUCGAGGCUGAAUUUAAGAAGAGUGAAACCUCUUUCCACCUGAGGAAAUCCCCAGCCCUUGGUAGUGACGCGGCCAAGUACUUCUGCUCUGUGAACGACACGGUGCCUGGGUCCACAGGGGGAGCUGAACACAAACCUUGGGACUUUUCAUGA